rnacentral:rRNA from 1 species
CACGUAGGGGGCGAGCGUUGUCCGGAAUCACUGGGCGUAAAGAGCACGUAGGCGGAUUAUUAAGUCAGAUGUGAAAACUCUGGGCUCAACCUAGAGACUGCAUCUGAAACUGGUAGUCUUGAGUAUAGAAGAGGAGAGUGGAAUUCCUAGUGUAGCGGUGAAAUGCGUAGAUAUUAGGAGGAACACCAGUGGCGAAGGCGACUCUCUGGUCUAUAACUGACGCUGAGGUGCGAAAGCGUGGGGAGCAAACAGGAUUAGAUACC